GUGUGUCCCUGCGUUGUCCAUGGGCGCGAAGUACCCUGCAACUCAGUAUAUGUAUCAUUAGUGUAGUACAUGUGUUCAUUUUCGUGAGGUGUACAUGUAGUGUGAGAAGUAUGAAUCGGUGUGUCUUGUGCUGGGUGGACAGAUGCUGUGGGAGUAAUGGUGGCCCGUAUAUCUAAGAUGUCCUCUUCGAUGCUUCCUGCCGUGGUGCUUGGCACAGGUGCAGCCUGUUUGCAUAUUGGAGGAGCCUCGUCUGAUGAUGUCUGGUAGCUUGUUGGCUUUGUAAUUAUACGCUUUGGUCGUUCUUCCAUCUAUGCAAGACGCUCUUCGGACAGCGAAGGAACGACACCGCCACAGAAGACGUAAUCAACGUAGAACGGCAGCCUGCCCAAGGAUAUAGCGCGACUUAUGGAGCGACGAGCGUGCAGACGAGGAAGAGGAGCAGGACCAGCAAGACCCGAUAUAAGAUGCAUGGGACGAGGAUGAGGUCGAAGACAACACUCAUGGUCACAGGAGGUCGAGAGAGAGAGAGAGAGAGAGA